rnacentral:rRNA from 1 species
CCUACGGGAGGCAGCAGUGAGGAAUAUUGGUCAAUGGACGAGAGUCUGAACCAGCCCAGUAGCGUGAAGGAUGACUGCCCUAUGGGUUGUAAACUUCUUUUAUAUGGGAAUAAAACGUUCCACGUGUGGGAUUUUGUAUGUACCAUAUGAAUAAGGAUCGGCUAACUCCGUGCCAGCAGCCGCGGUAAUACGGAGGAUCCGAGCGUUAUCCGGAUUUAUUGGGUUUAAAGGGAGCGUAGGUGGAUUGUUAAGUCAGUUGUGAAAGUUUGCGGCUCAACCGUAAAAUUGCAGUUGAAACUGGCAGUCUUGAGUACAGUAGAGGUGGGCGGAAUUCGUGGUGUAGCGGUGAAAUGCUUAGAUAUCACGAAGAACUCCGAUUGCGAAGGCAGUUCACUGGACUGCAACUGACACUGAGGCUCGAAAGUGUGGGUAUCAAACAGGAUUAGAUACCCGAGUAGUC